UGUGAGUGUUGGGAGGAUUAGGAGGAUGACACAGAGCCCAGCAGGGCACCCCCAGAUCUCCAUCUGGCUCUUCUGCUUUAAUAGGAUAAAAAUAUCUAGCUAUUCCUGGUUGAAGCCAAACCCCUGCCGCAGGCGAGAGGCAUUACUUCCCCCUUGUGGCCAUAUUUGGUUGCUGCACUCAAGCCAGGCACCCAGCAGGUAGGACUUUACAAUGCGUUAGCCAAGGUGAAGAACUAGAUAAACUAGGCUCCUUCUGGGCUGGCAUUUUAUUUUAUUUUAUUAUUUUUUUUGAGAUGGAGUCUCACUCUGUCGCCCAGGCUGGAGCGCAAUGGCACGGUCUCAGCUUACUGCAACCUCUGCCUCCCAGGUUCAAGCGAUUCUCCUGCCUCAGCCUCCCAAGUAGCUGGGACUAUAGGGGUCUGUGACCACUCCUGGCUAAUUUUUGUAUUUUUAGUAGAGACAGGGUUUCACUAUGUUGGCCAGGCUGGUCUCAAACUCCUGUCUUCAUGAUCCGCCUGCCUCAGCCUCCCAAAGUGCUGGGAUUACAGGUGUGAGCCACUGUGCCCGGCCCUGGGCUGGCAUUUUAGAGCAGCUCUUCAGACCAAGUAAUCUGACAGUCCCCAGCCUGGCUAGAACUUAUAAAGUCACCCCUGUGCCUGGUAGAUGAUUUCCACCAACAGCCUGUCCUUCAUGGAGAGGAGAUGGGUUUGGAUGGGGAGUGGGGAGGGGCAGCUGAAGGUUCCCUCCAACAACCAGCUAUUACAGAUUGUGGCUUUGGCAUUCUCAAAACUCAGUGUUUGGGAGGACCUUGGGCCUGCCCAUAUGGCUGAAGUCUUGAAGUCCAGAUUCUCCAGAGCCUCUCCUUCCUCUCAGGUACUGUUGGAGAAGGUGUCAUAUGUGGGUUUUCAAUAAAAACUAGGGGACAAGGUUGGGCGCGAUGGCUCACACCUGUAAUCCCAGCUCUUUGGGAGACCAAGGUGGGCGGAUCAUAAGAUCAGGAGAUCGAGACCAUUCAGGCCAUCAUGGUGAAAGCCUGUCUCUACUAAAAUACAAAAAAAAUUAGCAGGGCAUGGUGGCACGUGCCUGUAGUCCCAGCUACUCGGGAGGCUGAGGCAGGAGAACUGCUUGAACUCGGGAGGUGGAGGUUGCAGUGAGACGAGAUCAUGCCACUGCACUCCUGCCUGGCAACAGAGUGAGACUCCGUCUCAAAAAACACAAAAAGGAAGGGGCAUGGCCACAGGUACCGUGGAGAUCACGGGCUGUGACCCACCAGUGUGAGGAAGCACAGAGAGGAAGACAGGAGCAAACACAUAUUGACUGCAAUGGAAAGCCUUGGAGAGUUUGACAUGAUGUGACUCAUGUUGUUCCUCUCCUCUCCUCUCUUCUCCUCUCCUCUCCUCUCCUCUCCUCUAAAGUCUCCUCUUCUCUCCUCUCCUCUCCUCUCCUCUCCUGUCCUCUCCUCUCCUCUCCCCU
rnacentral:lncRNA from 1 species